UUCUAUGUGAAUAUAUAGUAAAGUGUAAUUUAUUCCUGAAUUUUCAGCAUCAUUACUCCAGUCUUCAGUUCUUCAGUGUCACAUGAUCCUUCAGAAAUCACUCUAAUAUGAGGAUCUGAUGCUCAAGAAACAUUUAUGAUUAUCAAUGUCGA